AAGUAUAAUUCGAGUUUUCAAAUGACAUCUUUUGGCGCCACAAAUAUUAUAAGAGACAACUUCAUGCCAACGUUCAAGAUUCAAGGUCAAAUAUACCAUCGAGCUGGCUCUUUGUUACCUUUCGACAACGCAGACCACCAAUUUUUGCAAUUAUAUUUUAUCGGGAACGCGGAAGACGAAGCUGAUCGUCGGUGUGCCAUUAUUACCAACACGCGGAGACAAAUUAUUUUCGAUUUGCAAAAUAUGUUCCAUGAGCACAACGA